rnacentral:rRNA from 1 species
UACGUAGGGAGCAAGCGUUGUCCGGAAUCAUUGGGCGUAAAGCGCGCGUAGGCGGCCCUGUAAGUCCGUUGUGAAAGUCAAAGGCUCAACCUUUGAAAGCCGGUGGAUACUGUCGAGCUCGAGUCCGGAAGAGGCGAGUGGAAUUCCUGGUGUAGCGGUGAAAUGCGCAGAUAUCAGGAGGAACACCAAUGGCGAAGGCAGCUCGCUGGGACGGUACUGACGCUGAGACGCGAAAGCGUGGGGAGCAAACAGG